GCAUUAGGCUGAGCUCAGAAUACAAACAUCCAUGGACGGAGUUGCAGGAAGGAAGGCCAAGUGAUUGGAUGCCCGUAGCUGGAUAUGUGCGAUGGUGGAGCUUGGUGAAGGCCUCUCUUUCUGUUUCAACUUUCUCAGUGAGAUAGGAGCAAGGGCACUUUGGGAUGGCACAUGAGACCUGGAGAGAGGCUUGCUUCUCUAGACACAGGCAUCACUCCCCACAUUCCUGUUUCUUUGGUCAGAACUCAGUCAUGUGGCCACACCUACCUGCCAGGGGAGCUAGGAGACAGAGUCUAACUAUGUUCUCAGAAAGAAGGGGAACAUCUCUGCCACAGGUAGGUAUGAAUGUCCCCAUUUUACAAAUAAGGAAAUGAGUGGGCACACAAAGUAAACAGGGGAGCUAAUUUCUCAAUUUGGGCCAUAGUUUCAUUUCUCUUCAACCUGCUUGGAAUUAUGUUUUUGAAUUUCCAAGUAUAUACCAGAAAUACAUAUUUUUACUAAAUAAAAAUCAAACUUGGACAAAACUUGAACCCCAAAGGGAUAAUCAAAACAAUUCUUCUCAAAACUGAGUAUGUGUUAAAGAGCAGGAGAUGCAAAACCUUAGGAUAAGCUUGGCACACUUGAAUGAUUAAUUUUUGGUUAAUAGUAAGACAUCUAUUAUUUGUUUGUACAUGUAUGUAUGUAUGUUUGUUUGUCUACUCUUAUUAGGCUGUGAGCUCCUUGAACAUUGCAUCUAGCAAUUUUGUUCUUAAUAGUAGUGACUUAAUGAAGAUUUGUUCAAUUGAAUUGAUUUUAGCCUUUUGGUUAUAAUAUAUAAAUGACCACUAAAAGGGCUAUAUAGUGCUACCAAGUUCUUUUAGCUUUAUAAUCUUCAGAGAGAUCUCCACUCAUAAAUGAUACCUAUGAAAUUGAACUGCUAUACACUGCUCAACAGCAAAAUGGUGGGGCAAAAUCUGGAUGGAUGUAAGGAUAUGAAAGAGUGACAUCGCCCUUUGCAAAUUAUGUUAUAUGUAAUAUCUAGUACCAUCAUUUAAAGAGCGAGUCAGCAUUAUUUUCAAGGUUUCCAUUAAUUUUUGUUACUUUCUGAUAUUUUGGGAGGGACUUUUUCAUUCUUGAAUUGUUAAUGCUCUUGUUUUCAUUCAUCUCUAUAAUUUAGUGCCAUAACAAAUGUUAGAAAAUGGACAUAGGAAAGAAAAAUUCUCCCUUUCAAUGGGGGAACUCUUUGUACCCACAGCUAAUACCUGUUUAAAUUUUUUCUUUUUUUUUUGGAAGGUUCCCUAACAUUUAGUUGUCUAUAGGACUUCCUGUAUACUAAAAUAUCUAGGCACUUCUGGCCUUUCAUAUUAAUAUAAACCUAAAUAGCCAGAUCAAUUUUAAAAUAAGAUUAAAGUUUUCCAGCAAUUUGAAGAAAAAAUAGUAAGGCAUUAACAUUUUUCCAUUGAAGCAAAUCUGGAUAUAUACAUAGUAGAAUGUAAAAUUUAUAUGAAUUUUUAAGAUUAAAAAUGGAACUUCAAAUAAAAAACUGUCUUGUGGUGGGCCACUGCUGUGUCCUUGGACACCUAGGGGUUCAAGGUCUCUCUUUUUAGUUUUAAUGGUGGAAAAGUUUGAAAUGGUUUAGAAUUUUCUUAAUGAAAAAAUUAUGUGGCACUUUUUUUUUUUUUUUUUUGCGGUACGCGGGCCUUUCACUGCUGUGGCCUCUCCCGUUGCAGAGCUCCGGACGCGUAGGCUCAGUGGCCAUGGCUCAUGGGCCCAGCUGCUCCGCGGCAUGUGGGAUCUUCCUGGACCGGGGCACGAACCUGUGUCCCCUGCAUCGGCAGGCGGACUCUCAACCACUGCGCCACCAGGGAAGCCCCUAUGUGGCACAUUUAAAUGUAAUUUCCUACUAACCCUUACUGUAACUUUUAAAAAUAAUCUGUAUUAUGUCUUGGAACUUGCCUCAAAUUUUAUUUUAGUUAUAAAUGUUCUACAAAUUUCUGGAGCCCACCUUUAUGAGUUUGAGCCACCAUAGUCUUUUAAGCGUAUCUCUCUAAUGAUAAUUUGCCUUUCUCUUCAAGGGUAAUCUCACUGUUUCUUCCCCAAUCCGAGAAACAUCCUGUCUUACUUCUCUAGUCAGGAGCUACUUUGGGCUUUCUCUUAGCUAAAAACCUCUUUCUAGUGGACUGGGAACAAUAAAAACCUUGUAUGCUUUUCUUACCAUAUCAAGAGAACAUCAUUCCAACUCUUCUUAUCUGCUUUCUAUAGUGAGUUAACCAAUUUAAUCUGCAUAUAAUGACUGGGACUAAUUAACAGUUUUCCCACAGCUGGUUCCCUCUAGAAACAUUUAGCAGCUGCUUUCUAGUAGAAGCUGUCCUAGAAACGGAGUUCAACUUAGCAAUAUCUCUUUAUAAUAGAGCAGAGUGUUUUCAUGUCAACUGGCUUUAUCAGGAAAGGCAAGAAUGGCUCAUUGGUAUCGUGGAUCAAACAAACGCCUUUUACAAAACAUCGUGUAACUCAGAUAUGAUGGGGAAAGCCCCCUCACAGCUAUCAUUUAUUUCUUUACUUUCAUCUUCAUUUAUUUAUUUUAUUCCAUUUUACUUUUUCUUUCUCAACUUUUCCCUGACUCUCCACAAGUGACUUCACAUCUGAUAGUAUCUCCACCAAAUAGCCCUUUUUUUCCUUUUUCCUAUUUUUAAACUCUCUAUGGACCUUAGGUGCACAGAAUUGGAUUAAUCAUGUCCUUAGUACAUCACUCUCAUCACUGGAACAUACAACUUUCUUUAGUAUUUUUAAUAAUGUAAUGAGCAUUUACAAAACCACCAAUGCAAAUGAAAGCUAGGACAUGGACAGUAACCUAUAUCUAACCACAUGGUUGCAUUUCAUCCCAUCACAUCUCUGGCUCCUCCCAUCUGAAACAAACUUUAUCCUGAAACCUGUAUCUAUCAUUUUCUUGCUUUGCUUUUUAAAUCGUUUUAUUUCACCUGCAUGUAGUCUUUAAAAGCCUAUUUUGAUUUUAGUUAUUUUAGACUCCACAAAAAUAUCAAGAUCUAUGUAAUUUGGGGUGGUGGUGGUUACUUUUCCACUUAAUAUAAAAAUGCUAAGAUUUAUGCAUAUCAUUGCAAGUUUAUUCACUUCUACUGCUUAUCUAUCUUGUGACCGUUUCACACUUGGUUCAUUUAUUCUCCCAUUGAUGAGCAUUUGCAUAUUUUCAAGAUUUUUUGCUAUGAAGAACUGUGAUCAUUUGAAUGUUCUUGUAUACAUCUCCUUUUGCACAUGCUCAAAAAUUUCUUUUAAGUAUGCAUUAAGAGAGAAAUUGCUGGGUCAUAUGAUGUAUAAAUGGUCAAAUUUAGGAAAUAUCACCAAAGUUUUAUCCAAAAUGAUUGCAUCAAUUUACUGCAUCAAUCCCAACAUGUCUUCUCCUAUUCUUGGUUUUGUCAAAUUUUUAAAUGUUCUUGACAGUUAAAUAACUUUAAAACAUGGCCUUAGUUUUCACUUCAAUGAUUAAAGGUAUCUUCUUAUGUUUCUUGGUCACGUAUUUCUUCUGUGAAAUGUCUAUUUGUGUUUGUCUAUUUUUCUAAUAGGUUGUUUGUAUAUUUCCUAUUGAUUUGAAAGUCUUUAUAAAUUUUAUAUGUUAAUUAUUUGUUGGAGCCAUGCAAUACAAAUAUAUUCCGUCAAUAUUAAUUUUAUUUUUACUUUCCUUAAAGAAUAUUUUAAUGAAUAAAAGUUCUUUAUUUUAGGGCUUCCCUGGUGGCGCAGUGGUUGAGAGUCCGCCUGCCGAUGCAGGGGACAUGGGUUCGUGCCCCGGUCCAGGAAGAUCCCACAUACCGCGGAGCGGCUAGGCCCGUGAGCCAUGGCCGCUGAGCCUGCGCGUCCGGAGCCUGUGCUCCGCAACGGGAGAGGCCACAACAGUGAGAGGCCCGCGUACCACAAAAAAAACCAAAGUUCUUUAUUUUAACAUGUUUAAAUUUAUCAAUCUCACAAUUUAUUUAAUUCUUUAAAAAUAUCUCUUAAUAAAGUUUUAAAAUUUUCCUCA